UGAAGUUAGCGGCGGACGGGUGAGAAACACGUGGGUAACCUGCCCAUAAGACUGGGAUAACUCCGGGAAACCGGGGCUAAUACCGGAUAACAUUUUGCGCUGCAUGGCGUAAAAUUGAAAGGCGGCUUCGGUCGUAAAUAUAUAGGGAGGACCCGCGUCGCAUUAGCUAGUUGGUGAGGUAACGGCUCACCAAGGCAACGAUGCGUAGCCGACCUGAGAGGGUGAUCGGCCACACUGGGACUGAGACACGGCCCAGACUCCUACGGGAGGCAGCAGUAGGGAAUCUGCCUUAAUGGACGAAAGUCUGACGGAGCAACGCCGCGUGAGUGAUGAAGGUUUUCCGGCCGUAAAACUCUGUUGUUAGGGAUUAUUUUUUUUCUAGUUGAAUAAGCUGGCCCCUCGACUUUUUUUUUUUGGAGAAAGCAACCCCCCCCCCCCCG
rnacentral:rRNA from 1 species